rnacentral:lncRNA from 1 species
CAUGAGGAGCUUCGUCAGGAGAUCAAUGGUAUAGCUCAUAGAUUGGAGGUUUUGGAGAGGAGAUAGAGUCAAAGUUCUGAUCAAUCAGAUGAUAUUGCUCAUCUGACUCAGGAGGCUGCUACGGUUGCCAAGAAAGUUGAAGAUGCAAUUAUCUCUGAACAAGACAACAUUGGCAUUCUGAUUGUAGCUAUGCUAUGGCUAGAGUC